AGUAGCCUUUCGAAAGGAAGAUUAAUACCGCAUAAGAUUGUAGUAUCGCAUGAUAUAGCAAUUAAAGGAGCAAUUCGCUAUAAGAUGGACCCGCGUCGCAUUAGCUAGUUGGUGAGGUGAUGGCUCACCAAGGCGACGAUGCGUAGCCGACCUGAGAGGGUGAUCGGCCACAUUGGGACUGAGACACGGCCCAGACUCCUACGGGAGGCAGCAUG
rnacentral:rRNA from 1 species